rnacentral:rRNA from 1 species
CACGUAGGCACCAAGCGUUGUCCGGAUUUAUUGGGCGUAAAGAGCUCGUAGGCGGUUCAGUAAGUCAGGUGUGAAAUCUUUGGGCUUAACCCAAAGCGUGCACUUGAUACUGCUGUGACUUGAGUUCGGUAGGGGAGUGGGGAAUUCCUAGUGUAGCGGUGAAAUGCGCAGAUAUUAGGAGGAACACCGGUGGCGAAGGCGGGUCUCUAGUACGGUACUGACGCUGAGACGCGAAAGCGUGGGGAGCGAACAGG